rnacentral:rRNA from 1 species
UAAGGAAUAUUGGACAAUGGGGGCAACCCUGAUCCAGCCAUGCCGCGUGAGUGAUGAAGGCCUUCGGGUUGUAAAACUCUUUCAGUAGUGAAGAUGAUGACGGUAACUACAGAAGAAGCUCCGGCUAACUUCGUGCCAGCAGCCGCGGUAAUACGAAGGGAGCGAGCGUUGUUCGGAAUCACUGGGCUUAAAGCGUGCGUAGGCGGACAAGAAAGUCAGGAGUGAAAUCCCAGGGCUUAACCCUGGAACUGCUCUUGAAACUCCUUGUCUAGAAUCCGACAGAGGUUAACGGAAUUCCGAGUGUAGAGGUGAAAUUCGCAGAUAUUCGGAGGAACACCAGUGGCGAAGGCGGUUAACUGGGUCGGUAUUGACGCUGAGGUACGAAAGCGUGGGGAGCAAACAGG